CUUUUGUAGAAUGAACCGGCGAGUUGCGUUAGUCAGCAAGGUUAAGUCAGAAAAGACGGAGCCGUAGCGAAAGCGAGUCUGAAGAGGGCGAGCAGUUGGCUGACGCAGACCCGAAACCAAGUGACCUACCCAUGACCAGGUUGAAGGCGCGGUAAAACGCGCUGGAGGACCGAACCCACGUAAGUUGAAAAUUGCGGGGAUGAGUUGUGGGUAGCGGUGAAAUUCCAAACGAACUUGGAGAUAGCUGGUUCUCUCCGAAAUAGCUUUAGGGCUAGCCUCGCAAAGAGGAUGCUGGAGGUAGAGCUCUGUUUGGACUAGGGGCCCGUCAAGGGUUACUGAAUUCAGAUAAACUGCGAAUUCCAGACAUUUAUGUGCGGGAGUCAGACUGCGAGUGAUAAGAUCCGUAGUCGAAAGGGAAACAGCCCAGAUCACCAGUUAAGGUCCCAAAAUUCAUGCUAAGUGGAAAAGGAUGUGGAGUUGCGCAGACAACUAGGACGUUGGCUCAGAAGCAGCCAUCAUUCAAAGAGUGCGUAAUAGCUCACUAGUCGAGUGACGCCGCGCCGAAAAUUUACCGGGGCUAAGCAUGAUACCGAAACUGUGGAUGUGCAUUUAUGCACGUGGUAGGAGAGCGUUCUAGCGGCGGUGAAGCAUGACCGAGAGGACAUGUGGAGCUUCUAGAAGUGAGAAUGCCGGUAUGAGUAACGAAAGACAGGUGAGAAUCCUGUCCGCCGCAAGACUAAGGUUUCCUGGGGCAGGCUCGUCCGCCCAGGGUAAGUCGGGACCUAAGGCGAGGCCGAGAGGCGUAGUCGAUGGACAACAGGUUGAAAUUCCUGUACUGCACCGAAUCGUUAUGAGCGAUGGAGGGACGCAGGAGGCUAGCAGCGCGUGGUGCUGGAUACCACGUUCAAGCGUCAAGUCUGAGAGCGAGUCAAAUGCUUGCUCUCAUAAGGACAAGGCGUGAUGAGGAGCGAAAUUAAAGUAGCGAAGGCUGCGACGUCACACUGCCGAGAAAAGCUUCUAGCCAGAGACGGUGCACCCGUACCGCAAACCGACACAGGUAGUCGAGGAGAGUAUCCUCAGGUGAGCGAGAGAACUCUCGUUAAGGAACUCGGCAAAAUGGCCCCGUAACUUCGGGAGAAGGGGCGCUGGUCGCAAGAUCAGCCGCAGUGAAAAGGCCCAAGCAACUGUUUAUCAAAAACACAGGCAUCUGCAAAAUCGUAAGAUGAAGUAUAGGUGCUGACACCUGCCCGGUGCUGGAAGGUUAAGAGGAGAGCUUAGCGCAAGCGAAGGUUUGAAUUGAAGCCCCAGUAAACGGCGGCCGUAACUAUAACGGUCCUAAGGUAGCGAAAUUCCUUGUCGGGUAAGUUCCGACCUGCACGAAAGGUGUAAUGAUUUGGGCACUGUCUCAACGAGAGACUCGGUGAAAUUAUAAUACCCGUGAAGAUGCGGGUUACCCGCGACAGGACGGAAAGACCCCAUGGAGCUUUACUGCAGUUUAAUAUUGGGUAUCUGUCAAGCAUGUACAGGAUAGGUAGGAGCCGGAGAAGAUAGGACGCCAGUCUUAUC
rnacentral:rRNA from 1 species